rnacentral:rRNA from 1 species
CAGCCGCCGCGGUAAUACGGAGGGGGCAAGCGUUAUCCGGAAUUAUUGGGCGUAAAGGGUACGUAGGUGGCCUUUUAAGCGUAGGGUAUAAGGCAAUGGCUCAACCAUUGUUCGCCCUAUGAACUGGAAGGCUUGAGUGCAGGAGAGGAAAGCGGAAUUCCUAGUGUAGCGGUGGAGUGCAUAGAUAUUAGGAGGAACAUCAGCGGCGAAGGCGGCUUUCUGGACUGCAACUGACACUGAGGUACGAAAGCGUGGGGAGCAAACAGGAUUAGAUACCCCGGUAGUCCCUGUCUCUUAUACA